UCUAGCCCCCCUAUAUACAAACGACGUUGUUUGGCUCGAGUAAUCCAGGCCGUCCGUCAUCCCCAAUCCAACUAUCCAGAUUUGAUCAAUCAUUUUAACUAAAAGUGUAAUAACACACUUUUACAAAUUCAGAGACCAAACCCGCCACCCACCGCGAAAAUCGCCUCUGCCGGCGGCGAAGCUCCAAACAACUCCAAAAUAACCCCACAGCAUCCCCUCGUCUUCCUCUUUCCAAAUCCCCAAACCCAUCCUUCAAAGCCUAGGCAAUCUUCUCGAAUCUUAGAUCUAAACUCUGACCCAAAACCCUACUUUCUCCAAACCAGUCCAAACUUACACCACAUAUCCUCCCCAUCUCCUUCUUCUUAAAUCCAUAGCCUAUAACCCUCAAACAUCACCCUAUCCUCUCAAAUUUUAGAUCGAAGGUUGACUUCAAAAUCCUAUUUUUUUCAAACUUCGAAGUUCAUUUGAUUUUGGACUGUAAUAGUCCUUAAUCUUGCGUUUCUCAUGGAAAUACACGAUUAAGGACAAACUGUAGUCCGGAUUUUUGCAAGGGCCAUUCAUUCUAAAUCAGUAAGUUCUUCAAAAUUCUCUGAUUUUUUUUAUUAGUUUUGUUUAAUCUUGAUUUGAUUUUUAUUUUGUUAGUUUAAGUGUUUAGGUGUUAGUUUCUGAUUAGUUCAAAUUGUUAAGUUAGUUGGUUUUUCUUUUAGUUUUACUUCGAUUCAAUUUGUGUUUUGGAAAUUCUGAUAAUUAGUGUAAUAUUUGGUUUAAAUACAUGUGUAUUAGCUCUUAAUUCAGUAGCUUUUUUAUGUUUACUUCUAUUUUUAUUCUUAAGGUUGAUUGCCGUAUGUGUUUCAUUCUGUUCCAAUAAUUGCUUUGUAAUUUGAUUUUGUUCCAUUUUAUAUUUUAUUUUAAUUGUGUUUCAAAUCUAUUUUGGGUAUUGUUGAUUUUGGCUUGAUUGAAUCAAUAGUUCUGUUAGUUUAAUUAGUCUAAUUUGAUUCAUUUCAGCUUUAACUCAGUGUUUAGUUUCAAAGUUAAUUAGGCUUAAGUGAUUGGUUAUAACUGGUUUAGUUUUGUAAAUUAAUCGUGGUUCAGUCAAAAGAAUAUGUUAGUUUAACUAGUGUUAGUAAUUUCAGAGGUAUUCAGGGGUAUUUUGGGCACCUAAAAUGGGUAGUCUGAUAUAGGUAGUAAUUUCCGAAUUCUAAGUAAGGGUAGCAUAGGUAUUCCAUAAAUAAAAUGCAAGCUAGAAUACCCUAGAUCCUUCUAGAAUGGGAUCUUAGUGUAAGUCUCAGCAUUCUUAAUGCAGUAUUAUGGGCAACAAACCACAAAUUUAGGGAUUAAUGUAUAAAACUGUAAUAAAAAUGGGGGGAUGAGUGAAUAAGUUACAGAACCGUCUACCACUUUUUUCUGCCUAUAAAUGGCAUGCCUAGUGUCUUCAUAAAUAAGUUUUACACAAUCUGAAAAUUUCUAAAAAUUCCAGCUUCUAAAUUUCUCCCCAAUACCCAUUUUCUGCAAGCUUAAGGUCUGAAAUUUAAAUUUCAAAUUCAAAUAUUCAAAUCUGAAAACCUAAAGUUCAACAAAUUCUCUUCGAUCUUCAUUUCUUCCAAAAAAACAAAAACAAAAGAAAAAUACAAUAAAACUCAACAAAAAAUACUGUUAUAUUGUGACUUUGCGUUGAAUUUCAAGUUGUAGUGUUGGAUUGGCAUCUUCUAGCUCAGUUUCUAGUGAUUGAAGUCCUUAAAAUAUUACUGGUUCAAUUUCAACUAAAUUUGGGUGAAAGUUAGUGUGAUUUGGUCAUUUUAUUGCUGUUAUUCUUCUGUCAUUCCUCCCUAGGUAUUGUGGCUUGAUUUGGGUUGAAAAUUGGUCUUAUGUAAGCUGUGUUAUUGCUGAUCUCUUUGAUGUGAUCCGCUGAACUGUUGCUGAUCUUAUUUCCUUCUUAUUUCGCUCUAAAUUCCAGGUACACAUUUGAAUCUCAUUGCUGUAACUCAGAGCUUGAAAGUGGAAUAAAGUGCUCAACUAUUUGCUCUUGAACUAUGCUUGCUUGGGUUGUGAUGUGUUAGUAGAUCAAUAGGUUUUAAUUAAUGUGUAAUUAUCUAGUUUGUGUUAACAUGGCACAAUAGGUCGUGGGUUGUUUAAUCAUGGACUGUUUUGACAUCAAUUUGGACUGUUAUGAGGCUAUGAAUCCUAUAGGACUGUUUGUGUAUAAUUUGGAUUGUUGUUUGUAUUAGCUUUCACUGUUAAGCACUAGCGUAAAUACAAAAAUUGAUUUUAGGUUUCAUUUGUGGUUACUAAGUGAGCAUUAGAGAUGACGAUUUAGACUUGGACAGUAUGUCCAAUUAGUUUACCAUAUUCCCACUAUUUUCAUAAUGAAUCUCAUCUCCUGUUUGUAAUUAAAUCGGAUUGGAUAUAUAUGAGUCUUAGAACUGGACAUACGGACUGGAUAUAUAUAAAUCGGACUGGACUCGAACUUGAAUAGUCGUAGUUCGAACUCCAGGUGCUUGUUCAACAGUAUUGGCGUCGGCAUAACAAAUUUUCAGCAUGAUCAGCAUUAAAUUAGUUAUGGUUUCAGUAUUAAAGUUUCAGCAUGUUCAAAUUUUCUGGAAGUAGUUAUGGCUUCAAUAUCAAUUUUUCAUUUCAAAUCUAUAAAGUUAAGAGCAUGUGAAUCAAACCCAAACAACUAUCAAAUUUAGAUUGAAUGAUGAUUCUUUGAGUUGAGUUUAAAUUGAUAAACAGUUCCUCCUUGUUGGGCCAUGGGUUAGGCCAAACGUUUGGCCUACUUACCCAAUCGACAAUCUGGCUUUUGCUUAUGUCAUGACCCAAACCCGGCCGUGAUGGCACCCAAACCUAAAGCUAGGUAAGCCUGACCAAUAAUCACUUCUAACGUAACAUUUAAGUCUCAAACUGAGAAUUUAACAAAAUAAUAAUCCACGAAUAUUAAUAAUAUGGUAUAAGUAAAAUACAAAAAUCAGAAGCACACCCAUAUGAUCUGGGGGUCACGAGUCUAGAGCCUCUAAACAAAACUAAGUGAUAUUAAUAGUAUUUGAAUGCCACAACCAAAUCUGGGAAAAGUAUAUAAUAAUAAUAAAAUGAAGAAAUAAUGAAGAGCAGCUAGGUCAUGCGAAUGUCAUGCAGCUACCUCAGUGACUCUGAAAUAUCUCUGGAGACUACGAGAAUCAGCUAAGCCUCCGGUGUACCUAAAUCUGCACACAAGGUGCAGGGAGUAGGGGUGAGUAUUACCGAUUUAGUGAAUAAUAAGUAUAGAAAAUAACUGAAAGUUAGAAAUCCACGAAAGACCACAACGCAAAACUAUAACUAACAAUCCAAUAAUUUAGUUACAGGCUAACAACAUAAGUAUCACAACAACAACCAAGUAUCGGAUAAAGAUGCAAUGCAAC
rnacentral:lncRNA from 1 species